rnacentral:lncRNA from 1 species
CUUUCGGUUGAAAUUAUUUAUUUUUUUUAUAUUUUUUGUUUGCUACUGCAUAUUUUUUUGGAUCUGAUAGGCUUUGAAGUGAUUCAUCAGCGUAGUAUGAUGCAAAAAAUAAAAUUUUAAUAAAAAAAUUAUAUAAAUUUUAAUAAAAAAAUAUUUUAAAAUUUAACUUUAGGUCUAUCUAUAUAUUGAGAAGCCCAAA